GAUGAACGCUGGCGGCGUGCCUAACACAUGCAAGUCGAACGAAGCACCGCUGACGUUGAUUGUCACAGGUUGCUGGAGAUUGAGUGAUUUAAGCGGGCAUAGCGUCGGUCGGGUAAGUGACGCACGUGUAACCUGCCUCACUGAUGGGGACAAAAGUAUGAAACGACUGCUUUUACUGGAUAAUAAGAGGAUUUCGCAUGUUUUUUGCUUGAAAGAUUUAUCGUUAUGAGAUGGGUCCGCGUCCGAUUAGCCAGUUGGUAAGGUAACGGCAUACCAAGGGGACGACCAGUAGCCGGGUUGAGAGACUGGACGGCCACACUGGGACUGGGACACGGCCCAAACUCCUCCGGGAGGGAGCAGUGGGGAAUAUUGCACCAUGGGGGAAACCCUGAUGCAGCGACGCCGCGUGAGUGAAGAAGUAUUUCGGUAUGAAAAGCUCUAUCAGCAGGGAAGAUAAUGACGGUACCUGACUAAGAAGCCCCGGCUAACUACGUG
rnacentral:rRNA from 1 species